AGAGUUUGAUUAUGGCUCAGGAUGAACGCUGGCGGCGUGCUUAACACAUGCAAGUCGAACGGAACACCCUUGAAGGAGUUUUCGGACAACUGAAAGGACUGUUUAGUGGCGGACGGGUGAGUAACGCGUGAGCAACCUGCCUUGGAGUGGGGAAUAACAGUUGGAAACAGCUGCUAAUACCGCAUAAUGCAGUUGAGUCGCAUGGCUCUGACUGCCAAAGAUUUAUCGCUCUGAGAUGGACUCGCGUCUGAUUAGCUAGUUGGUGGGGCAACGGCCCACCAAGGCGACGAUCAGUAGCCGGACUGAGAGGUUGGCCGGCCACAUUGGGACUGAGACACGGCCCAGACUCCUACGGGAGGCAGCAGUGGGGAAUAUUGGGCAAUGGGCGCAAGCCUGACCCAGCAACGCCGCGUGAAGGAAGAAGGCUUUCGGGUUGUAAACUUCUUUUCUCAGGGACGAAGAAAGUGACGGUACCUGAGGAAUAAGCCACGGCUAACUACGUGCCAGCAGCCGCGGUAAUACGUAGGUGGCAAGCGUUAUCCGGAUUUACUGGGUGUAAAGGGCGUGUANGCGGGAAAGCAAGUCAAAUGUGAAAACCAUGGGCUCAACCUGUGGCCUGCAUUUGAAACUGUUUUUCUUGAGUACUGGAGAGGCAGACGGAAUUCCUCGUGUAGCGGUGA
rnacentral:rRNA from 1 species